rnacentral:rRNA from 1 species
AGCGAACGCUGGCGGCAGGCCUAACACAUGCAAGUCGAACGAACCCUUCGGGGUUAGUGGCGGACGGGUGAGUAACACGUGGGAACGUGCCUUUAGGUUCGGAAUAACUCAGGGAAACUUGUGCUAAUACCGAAUGUGCCCUUCGGGGGAAAGAUUUAUCGCCUUUAGAGCGGCCCGCGUCUGAUUAGCUAGUUGGUGAGGUAAAGGCUCACCAAGGCUACGAUCAGUAGCUGGUCUUAGAGGAUGACCAGCCACAUUGGGACUGAGACAUGGCCCAAACUCCUACGGGAGGCAGCAGUGGGGAAUCUUGCGCAAUGGGCGAAAGCCUGACGCAGCCAUGCCGCGUGGAUGAUGAAGGUCUUAGGAUUGUAAAAUCCUUUCACCGGUGAAGAUAAUGACUGUAGCCGGAGAAGAAGCCCCGGCUAACUUCGUGCCAGCAGCCGCCGUAACAC